GAAAUGCGAUAAGUAAUGUGAAUUGCAGAAUUCAGUGAAUCAUCGAAUCUUUGAACGCACAUUGCGCCCGCCAGUAUUCUGGCGGGCAUGCCUGUCCGAGCGUCAUUUCAACCAUCAAGCCCCCGGGCUUGUGUUGGGGACCUGCGGCUGCCCGCAGGCCCUGAAAACCAGUGGCGGGCUCGCUGUCACACCGAGCGUAGUAGCAAUCACCUCGCUCAGGGCGUGCUGCGGGUUCCGGCCGUUAAACAGCCUUACAAAACCCAAGGUUGACCUCGGAUCAGGUAGAAAGACCCGCUGAACUUAGGC
rnacentral:misc_RNA from 1 species